UACGUAGGUGACAAGCGUUGUCCGGAAUUAUUGGGCGUAAAGCGCGCGCAGGCGGUCCUUUAAGUCUGAUGUGAAAGCCCACGGCUCAACCGUGGAGGGUCAUUGGAAACUGGGGAACUUGAGUACAGAAGAGGAAAGCGGAAUUCCACGUGUAGCGGUGAAAUGCGUAGAGAUGUGGAGGAACACCAGUGGCGAAGGCGGCUUUCUGGUCUGUAACUGACGCUGAGGCGCGAAAGCGUGGGGAG
rnacentral:rRNA from 1 species